GUGAGAAUAUUUUUUUUUUUUUUACCAAAAUUAAGGUGAGAAUCUAAGUGAGGAUUUUCUGUUGGAUUCAGAGCGGAGACGCAUUUUUCCGUCGGAGUCAAUUGGAUCUCGUCAUGCCUGUAUAAAGCUGGUCUUUUUAUUAAUUUUUUUAAAAUUACAUUUUUACCAACAAGUGGGACCCCAAUUCAAAAGCUCGGAUCUUGAAAAUGGACGGCCCAGAUCUGGUGAAAAUUUCCACUGGACCCACAUUUACCCCAAUAUGUUACCCCAAUCAUCAUUAGGCCCAUCUCUUUACCCGUGCCUCAGACACUUCUCUAUUCAUAUCUCCCUUCACGAUAGAGAGAGAGAGAGAGAGAG
rnacentral:misc_RNA from 1 species